CCCUUAGAUGUUCUGGGCCGCACGCGCGCUACACUGAUGCAUUCAACGAGCCUAUCCUUGACCGACAGGUCCGGGUAAUCUUUGAAUCUGCAUCGUGACGGGGAUAGAUUAUUGCAAUUAUUAAUCUUCAACGAGGAAUGCCUAUUAGGCGCAAGUCAUCAGCUUGCGUCGAUUACGUCCCUGCCCUUUGUACACACCGCCCGUCGCUCCUACCGAUUGGGUGUGCUGGUGAAAUGUUCGGAUCGGCCGUUUGUCGCGGUUUCCGCGUCAUGUGGCUGAGAAGUUCAUUAAACCCUCCCACCUAGAGGAAGGAGAAGUCGUAACA
rnacentral:rRNA from 1 species